CCCACGGCUCACGCCGUGGGCUACUUCCUGCCGCCGCUCCGCGGCU
rnacentral:sRNA from 1 species